rnacentral:rRNA from 1 species
AUGAGAGGCCUCAGAUCGCGGAUCCUCCGGACCCUGCAGUCCUUCCCCAACACCGCCGCCGCGCAGUCCAACGCCCUCAUCCCGCCCCCCGACGCCGCCGCACCCGAGGCCGUGCCCGAGCCGGCCGCCGUCCCCGAUGGCGACGACGACAAGGAGAACCUGUCGCCGGAGGCCAACCCGCGGAAGGCCAAGAAGAUGAAGGUGGGCUCUCUGGAGGGUGGCUCUCUGGAGGAGUCCGGCAGGCGCUACCGCCGGCCGGAGCUCGAGUCGUCCAGCCUCUUCGACCCGGACCUCCUCGCCGCCUUCCGCGGCGUCGUGGACGCGUACGCCCAGGCGCUCGACAAGACCCAGCGCCGCGAUGUCGACUUCGACGACGCCGACGACGACAUCGCCGCCGCGCUGGACGCCGGCGGCCGCGACGAGGACCCCCUGGCCGGGCUGGAGUGCCGGUGCCCGCCCGGCGGGGAGCGGGCCGUGGUGCUCUACACCACGUCGCUGCGCGGGGUGCGCAAGACGUUCGAGGACUGCGCCACCGUGCGCCGCCUGCUCGACGGGCUCCGCGUCGCCUUCCUGGAGCGCGACGUGUCCAUGCACGCGCCCUACCGGGACGAGCUCCGCGCUCUGCUGCCGCCUCCGCCGGGCGACGGCGCCAGCAUGCCCCUGCCGCCGCGGCUGUUCGUGGACGGGCGGUACGUGGGCGGCGCCGACGAGGUGGUGGCGCUGCACGAGCGGUCGCGGCUCCGGGCGAUGCUCCGGCGCGCCGCGCGCCGGCGCGCGGGCGACGCGGCCUGCGCGGUGUGCGGCGGCGCCUGGUUCGUGGUGUGCGGCGGGUGCAGCGGCCGUCAUUGGCUCUAUGACGACGGCUCGGCCGCCGCCGUCGCCGCCAGCCGCGUGCCGUGCCCCGGGUGCAACGAGAACGGGCUCGUGCCGUGCCCCCUGUGCAGCUGA